UACGUAGGGUGCGAGCGUUAAUCGGAAUUACUGGGCGUAAAGGGUGCGUAGGCGGCUAUGGAAGUUAGAAGUGAAAGUCCCGAGCUCAACUUGGGGAGGUCUUUUAAAACUGGAUAGCUAGAGUUAGUCAGAGGGGGGUGGAAUUCCAAGUGUAGCAGUGAAAUGCGUAGAGAUUUGGAGGAACACCGAUGGCGAAGGCAGCCCCCUGGGAUGUAACUGACGCUGAGGCACGAAAGCGUGGGUAGCAAACAGG
rnacentral:rRNA from 1 species